rnacentral:rRNA from 1 species
UACGGGGGGGCAAGCGUUGCUCGGAAUUACUGGGCGUAAAGCGCACGUAGGCGGAUUGUUAAGUCGGUGGUGAAAUCCUGGAGCUCAACUCCAGAACUGCCUUCGAUACUGGGAGUCUUGAGUCCGGGAGAGGUGAGUGGAACUGCGAGUGUAGAGGUGAAAUUCGUAGAUAUUCGCAAGAACACCAGUGGCGAAGGCGGCUCACUGGCCCGGUACUGACGCUGAGGUGCGAAAGCGUGGGGAGCAAACAGG